UACGAAAGGGGCGAGUGUUGUUUGUGUGGACUAGGUGUAAAGGAUGUGUAGGCAGUUUUUUUGAUUUGCUAUUAAAUUAACCAAAGAGUGGGUUUGCGGUAGCUUUAACCAAAAAACUUGAGUUUGCGUAGGUUAGCAGUACUAGAUGAGUUAAGGUCAUCGACCAGAGAUAACUUUAAGAAUUCCAUAGGUCAAUGCGGCUUUCCAUAGUGAACUGACGCUGAGACAUUAAAGCGUGGGGAGCAAAUGGG
rnacentral:rRNA from 1 species